rnacentral:rRNA from 1 species
AGAGUUUGAUCAUGGCUCAGAUUGAACGCUGGCGGCAUGCCUUACACAUGCAAGUCGAACGCGAAAGUAGGGGCAACCCUGCGAGUAGAGUGGCGAACGGGUGAGUAAUACAUCGGAACGUACCCAGGAGUGGGGGACAACCUCGAGAAAUCGAGGCUAAUACCGCAUACGUCCUGAGGGAGAAAGCGGGGGAUUCGCAAGGACCUCGCGCUCAUGGAGCGGCCGAUGUCGGAUUAGCUAGUUGGCGGGGUAAAAGCCCACCAAGGCUACGAUCCGUAGCUGGUUUGAGAGAACGACCAGCCACACUGGGACUGAGACACGGCCCAGACUCCUACGGGAGGCAGCAGUGGGGAAUUUUGGACAAUGGGCGCAAGCCUGAUCCAGCCAUGCCGCGUGAGUGAAGAAGGCCUUCGGGUUGUAAAGCUCUUUCGGCCGGAACGAAAUCGCGUACGUGAAUAACGUGCGUGGAUGACGGUACUGGAAGAAGAAGCACCGGCUAACUACGUGCCAGCAGCCGCGGUAAUACGUAGGGUGCGAGCGUUAAUCGGAAUUACUGGGCGUAAAGCGUGCGUAGGCGGUUUCGUAAGUCAGAUGUGAAAUCCCCGGGCUUAACCUGGGAACUGCGUUUGAAACUACGGAGCUAGAGUACGGCAGAGGGGGGUGGAAUUCCACGUGUAGCAGUGAAAUGCGUAGAUAUGUGGAGGAACACCGAUGGCGAAGGC